AAGUCGUAACAAGGUAACCGUAGGUGAACCUGCGGUUGGAUCAUUAAUAAUGUUUUGUACCUGUAAUAUCCUUGAUUUAAUCAAGGUAUGUGUACUAACAAACUUUGUGUGAUAUGUUUUCUGUUUCUCGUGAAUCGAGUGAGGUAGUUCUUGGAGAGUGGCAUUCUGAUGCCAUUCAAUAAGGAAUGUACUACAUCCUGGGUAGGACUAUUUUAAAAUAGUCUUGCACUGGUUCACGAAAGGACUUGAAAAGCCAGUAAUGGUGGUUCUUGUCCAAAGUAAACUUUUUAGCUAUUUAGUUUUAUGUCUAAAUAUUUUAUCACAUUUAUGUGUGAAAAAUUUUAAAACAACUUUUGACAACGGAUCUCUUGGUUCUC
rnacentral:misc_RNA from 1 species